UCAUCUUGAAAGCUGCUAUUUUUAUUCAAACGAAACUCAAACGACGUCACUUAAAGAGAUACAACAUAAUACCCAAGCAUUUAACUUAAAGACUAGCUAACAUUGAUUAAAAUUCAACCGUACAGUAGACGCAUAACAACACUCUCUCUCAAUCUUUUUAAACAUGAAACAAUCAAGAUAGUAACCAGAGCAUCAAAUCAUCUUCAUUUGGGGCAAGACGGGUUAAAGGCAAAUGGACCAACGUUAAAGAGACCGUAUACGAGCUUGUUGACGACCACCGUAGAUUUUCCCAGCUUUUUCUCAGGCUUAAGUUCAGCGCCGACAUCUCCACCGAAGAGCUUUGAGACUUUGCUGCAUUUGUAGUCCUUUGAUUUCACCAAAUACACACGACAUCCUCUGAAACCGAAGUUCGUCACCGUCUUAGGAGCCAACAACAAGAAGUAUCCGUUCUUGUCUGUCGUCGUCUCCGCUGUUAUGUUCUUCUUGCUCUUACACACUAGUUUCACCGUAGCACCUGCACAAACCCAUAAAAAAAUAUUAGUCCGAUAUGUUUAUAGAAUAAAAGGAUAUAGUUAUGUGUUUUUAAUUAUUUUUGUGGGAAGUAGUGAAAUUUAUUGGCCAGACUGUAAAAAACAGUGACUGAUGAGUGCAGAAGUGUACAUAGUCACUCUCUUUAUUUCACACCUAUUUUCGAAACAUUGACUACUUACGUAACAAAGGUCCCACUUGUAACGUUUUCAAAUUUGAAUUAUUUUCUGAAAUAUGCGUCAUGAUUAAGAUAUGAAGUACGUAUUAUUUUAUAGAUAUAUACACUGUUUGAAUGCGUAUGCAGAGCCAAGUUGAGUUGUUUGAGAGAUUGUUACUGAGGUAUGUCUCAUGUAUGAGUGAAUAAACUGAAUAAUGAAGUGGAAGAAAUAGUAGUAA
rnacentral:sRNA from 1 species